UACAGAGGGUGCGAGCGUUAAUCGGAAUCACUGGGCUUAAAGCGUUCGUAGGCGGACUUGCAGGCGCGUUGUGAAAGCCCCCGGCUCAACCGGGGAACUGCUUCGCGAACCGCAAGUCUUGAGUCAAGUAGGGGCGGUCGGAACGAUAGGUGGAGCGGUGAAAUGCGUAGAUAUCUAUCGGAACGCCAAAGGUGAAGACAGGCCGCUGGGCUUGUACUGACGCUGAGGAACGAAAGCGUGGGGAGCAAACGGG
rnacentral:rRNA from 1 species